GAUGAACGCUGGCGGCGUGCCUAAUACAUGCAAGUCGGGCGAACAGACGAGGAGCUUGCUCCUCUGACGUUAGCGGCGGACGGGUGAGUAACACGUGGAUAACCUACCUAUAAGACUGGGAUAACUUCGGGAAACCGGAGCUAAUACCGGAUAAUAUAUUGAACCGCAUGGUUCAAUAGUGAAAGACGGUUUUGCUGUCACUUAUAGAUGGAUCCGCGCCGCAUUAGCUAGUUGGUAAGGUAACGGCUUACCAAGGCAACGAUGCGUAGCCGACCUGAGAGGGUGAUCGGCCACACUGGAACUGAGACACGGUCCAGACUCCUACGGGAGGCAGCAGUAGGGAAUCUUCCGCAAUGGGCGAAAGCUUGACGGAGCAACGCCGCGUGAGUGAUGAAGGUCUUCGGAUCGUAAAACUCUGUUAUUAGGGAAGAACAAAUGUGUAAGUAACUAUGCACGUCUUGACGGUACCUAAUCAGAAAGCCACGGCCAACUACGUG
rnacentral:rRNA from 1 species